CUUUCUUUACUACAGUGAUUCUCAGAGCCAGCAAGAAAGAGAAAUGUUCCAAAAGGGAACCUCCGUCUCAGCCAUUUGCCUGGAGCUGAAGGUUGUGGGCUCCUGGCCUUGAGGAUAUCCCCAUUGGGCUGAAAGGUGUGACAUGGACAAUGAAUGCUGAUUUCCAGACCUAAGUUGGACUCUGCAAACCUUUAUCCUGAUUGUUGUUUGACAGAGCUCACAGGAAAUGGAUAAAUCCAAAGAUUAAUCCCUUCUUCCUCAUCUGAUGCCAAAGAAUAAAGGAACAAGGGAUUCACUGGAGCCCAUAUUCCAUCCAUCUUGGAUUUUUGGCAAUGAAUGUUUCUUCAGGUUAAAAAUCAAAUGGUGUAUUAUUCUCACUGAGAAUCAGAGUUAGUGAGUAAAAUAUUUUAAGGGUAAUCUCUAAGGAUGACUGCAAAGAAGGAAGCUGAGGUCCAGGGAGGUCUCUGCCUGGCUAUAUAAGUAGUUAUAAGCAGAGCUAGGAUGAAGCUUCAACUCUUCUGACAUCCAGACAGUACUGUUGCUGUCACAGGCAUGCUAACAUAUGUAAAUAUGUGUGCGUGAAUGGUUGAACUGAAUAAUUUAAUGGAUAUUAAAGAAAUCCCACAUUCUAGUUUUAGGGUCACUACUCCCACUUCCAAGUCUUCACUUUUAAGAGGUAGCCAUCUAAGCUUUACCCCCAGCAUGAUGUUGGGGACAUUGUUCACUUUCAGGGCCAUAAGCCCACCUUCUGGGGGUCUCAGCUGAGGAUCCUUCAUAUCAGGGACCUGGUCAGUGGUAUUGACGUGGGGAUCUCACAUGGAGAAUCAGUGAAGAAUCAACUCACUUGUCCCAUUUGGACAUUGGGACAAGUGGGAAUUUGCUGACCAUCUUCCUCUGCUGGCCUAGAAGAAUGGCUGGCACCUCGUAAUAUGUGCCAGAGAAAUAUUCUUUAGUAAGAUCUGGUGUCAGAAAAGCACCUGGCUCUGCCGCUGAACACUCAGGUGAUUCUCCUCAAGGUACUGCUCUGCAUGUGAGUGUCUUCAAUUGUUGACUAGAGAUACUACUGCUGUUCACGGGAUGUUAGAAAGAUUAUUUGUACUUUGGAAAGUGAUUAACACUCAGGUAUUUGAUGUGUUGAUUCAGCCUCUUUGUAAACUUCUGGAAGGCAGAGAUUAUAUAUAUGUAUAUAUAUUGCACUUUUCACUAUUAAACCAUUUAUUAGCA